rnacentral:rRNA from 1 species
AUUGAACGCUGGCGGCAGGCCUAACACAUGCAAGUCGAGCGAGUGGCGGACGGGUGAGUAAUGUCUGGGAAACUGCCUGAUGGAGGGGGAUAACUCCUGGCAACGGUAGCUAAUACCGCAUACCCUCAGAUGAACCCAUAUGGGAUUGGAUUGUAGGGGGGGUAACGGCUCACCUAGGCGACGAUCCCUAACUGGUCUGAGAGGAUGACCAGCCAAACUGGAACUGAGACACGGCCCAGAAUCCUACGGGAGGCAGCAGUGGGGAAUAUUGCACAAUGGGCGGAAGCCUGAUGCAGCCAUGCCGCGUGUAUGAAGAAGGCAUUCGGGUUGUAAAGUACUUUAAGUUGGGAGGCGUUACCAAAAGAAUAAGCACCGGCUAACGUCGUGCCAGCAGCCGCGGUAAUAC